rnacentral:misc_RNA from 1 species
GGGUGGGGGUGGGGGUGGGGGAGGGGGAUCGGAAUAUCUCAUUCCGAUAGUCUCGAUCUUUGUUUCUUCAUUUUAUCAGGGAUUUGAAUCAUAUGAUUUUACUUUAGAUAUAUUUUUCAUGUUAGUUGAGUUAGUAGUUGGGGUUGGAAUAGGUCAUCCCGACUAUUUCGAUCCGUUAAUUUAUUUAUUUAACGAAUUAUCUAAAUUUUCACAUUCAUUUUAGGGAUAAGGUGGGGGUACAAGUUAGCACGAAGAAUGAAGUCCUACUAACAUGCGCC